GGCUGGGUGGCCGGGGUGGUCGUGGGGGCGGCAAUGGUGGUUGCAGCGGCAAGGGGAGCAUCAUAGGGGGCUCCGGCUCCACUUCCAGGUCAUGUUCUGGAGCUCGCUCAGGGGACAAUGGGGGUCGAGCCUCCACCUCCUUGGCAGGGGGCUCUGGAGACAGCAACAUGGCCCCUUCCUGGCUCAGGCCUGGUUCCUCAGGCGGCU
rnacentral:lncRNA from 1 species